rnacentral:tRNA from 1 species
GGUUCUGUAGUGUAGUGGUUAUCACUCCGGAUUUUGAUAGGUUAACGCCUGCUAAUUCCGGUAACCCCGGUUCGAGUCCGGGCAGGACCU